UACGAAGGGGGCGAGCGUUGUUCGGAUUUACUGGGCGUAAAGGGUGCGUAGGCGGUCGGGUAAGUCUGAUGUGAAAUCUCACAGCUUAACUGUGAAACUGCAUUGGAUACUAUCCGGCUCGAGGAAUGGAGGGGAGACUGGAAUACUUGGUGUAGCAGUGAAAUGCGUAGAUAUCAAGUGGAACACCAGUGGCGAAGGCGAGUCUCUGGACAUUUCCUGACGCUGAGGCACGAAAGCCAGGGGAGCAAACGGG
rnacentral:rRNA from 1 species